rnacentral:rRNA from 1 species
UUAAGCGACUAAGCGUACACGGUGGAUGCCCUGGCAGUCAGAGGCGAUGAAGGACGUGCUAAUCUGCGAUAAGCGUCGGUAAGGUGAUAUGAACCGUUAUAACCGGCGAUUUCCGAAUGGGGAAACCCAGUGUGUUUCGACACACUAUCAUUAACUGAAUCCAUAGGUUAAUGAGGCGAACCGGGGGAACUGAAACAUCUAAGUACCCCGAGGAAAAGAAAUCAACCGAGAUUCCCCCAGUAGCGGCGAGCGAACGGGGAGCAGCCCAGAGCCUGAAUCAGUGUGUGUGUUAGUGGAAGCGUCUGGAAAGGCGUGCGAUACAGGGUGACAGCCCCGUACACAAAAAUGCACAUGCUGUGAGCUCGAUGAGUAGGGCGGGACACGUGGUAUCCUGUCUGAAUAUGGGGGGACCAUCCUCCAAGGCUAAAUACUCCUGACUGACCGAUAGUGAACCAGUACCGUGAGGGAAAGGCGAAAAGAACCCCGGCGAGGGGAGUGAAAAAGAACCUGAAACCGUGUACGUACAAGCAGUGGGAGCACNNNNNNNNNNNNNNNNNNNNNNNNNNNNNNNNGUGUGACUGCGUACCUUUUGUAUAAUGGGUCAGCGACUUAUAUUCUGUAGCAAGGUUAACCGAAUAGGGGAGCCGAAGGGAAACCGAGUCUUAACUGGGCGUUAAGUUGCAGGGUAUAGACCCGAAACCCGGUGAUCUAGCCAUGGGCAGGUUGAAGGUUGGGUAACACUAACUGGAGGACCGAACCGACUAAUGUUGAAAAAUUAGCGGAUGACUUGUGGCUGGGGGUGAAAGGCCAAUCAAACCGGGAGAUAGCUGGUUCUCCCCGAAAGCUAUUUAGGUAGCGCCUCGUGAAUUCAUCUCCGGGGGUAGAGCACUGUUUCGGCAAGGGGGUCAUCCCGACUUACCAACCCGAUGCAAACUGCGAAUACCGGAGAAUGUUAUCACGGGAGACACACGGCGGGUGCUAACGUCCGUCGUGAAGAGGGAAACAACCCAGACCGCCAGCUAAGGUCCCAAAGUCAUGGUUAAGUGGGAAACGAUGUGGGAAGGCCCAGACAGCCAGGAUGUUGGCUUAGAAGCAGCCAUCAUUUAAAGAAAGCGUAAUAGCUCACUGGUCGAGUCGGCCUGCGCGGAAGAUGUAACGGGGCUAAACCAUGCACCGAAGCUGCGGCAGCGACGCUGAUGCGUUGUUGGGUAGGGGAGCGUUCUGUAAGCCUGUGAAGGUGUACUGUGAGGUAUGCUGGAGGUAUCAGAAGUGCGAAUGCUGACAUAAGUAACGAUAAAGCGGGUGAAAAGCCCGCUCGCCGGAAGACCAAGGGUUCCUGUCCAACGUUAAUCGGGGCAGGGUGAGUCGACCCCUAAGGCGAGGCCGAAAGGCGUAGUCGAUGGGAAACAGGUUAAUAUUCCUGUACUUGGUGUUACUGCGAAGGGGGGACGGAGAAGGCUAUGUUGGCCGGGCGACGGUUGUCCCGGUUUAAGCGUAUAGGCUGGUUUUCCAGGCAAAUCCGGAAAAUCAAGGCUGAGGCGUGAUGACGAGGCACUACGGUGCUGAAGCAACAAAUGCCCUGCUUCCAGGAAAAGCCUCUAAGCAUCAGGUAACAUCAAAUCGUACCCCAAACCGACACAGGUGGUCAGGUAGAGAAUACCAAGGCGCUUGAGAGAACUCGGGUGAAGGAACUAGGCAAAAUGGUGCCGUAACUUCGGGAGAAGGCACGCUGAUAUGUAGGUGAAGUCCCUCGCGGAUGGAGCUGAAAUCAGUCGAAGAUACCAGCUGGCUGCAACUGUUUAUUAAAAACACAGCACUGUGCAAACACGAAAGUGGACGUAUACGGUGUGACGCCUGCCCGGUGCCGGAAGGUUAAUUGAUGGGGUUAGCGCAAGCGAAGCUCUUGAUCGAAGCCCCGGUAAACGGCGGCCGUAACUAUAACGGUCCUAAGGUAGCGAAAUUCCUUGUCGGGUAAGUUCCGACCUGCACGAAUGGCGUAAUGAUGGCCAGGCUGUCUCCACCCGAGACUCAGUGAAAUUGAACUCGCUGUGAAGAUGCAGUGUACCCGCGGCAAGACGGAAAGACCCCGUGAACCUUUACUAUAGCUUGACACUGAACAUUGAGCCUUGAUGUGUAGGAUAGGUGGGAGGCUUUGAAGUGUGGACGCCAGUCUGCAUGGAGCCGACCUUGAAAUACCACCCUUUAAUGUUUGAUGUUCUAACGUNNNNNNNNNGACCCGUAAUCCGGGUUGCGGACAGUGUCUGGUGGGUAGUUUGACUGGGGCGGUCUCCUCCUAAAGAGUAACGGAGGAGCACGAAGGUUGGCUAAUCCUGGUCGGACAUCAGGAGGUUAGUGCAAUGGCAUAAGCCAGCUUGACUGCGAGCGUGACGGCGCGAGCAGGUGCGAAAGCAGGUCAUAGUGAUCCGGUGGUUCUGAAUGGAAGGGCCAUCGCUCAACGGAUAAAAGGUACUCCGGGGAUAACAGGCUGAUACCGCCCAAGAGUUCAUAUCGACGGCGGUGUUUGGCACCUCGAUGUCGGCUCAUCACAUCCUGGGGCUGAAGUAGGUCCCAAGGGUAUGGCUGUUCGCCAUUUAAAGUGGUACGCGAGCUGGGUUUAGAACGUCGUGAGACAGUUCGGUCCCUAUCUGCCGUGGGCGCUGGAGAACUGAGGGGGGCUGCUCCUAGUACGAGAGGACCGGAGUGGACGCAUCACUGGUGUUCGGGUUGUCAUGCCAAUGGCACUGCCCGGUAGCUAAAUGCGGAAGAGAUAAGUGCUGAAAGCAUCUAAGCACGAAACUUGCCCCGAGAUGAGUUCUCCCUGACUCCUUGAGAGUCCUGAAGGAACGUUGAAGACGACGACGUUGAUAGGCCGGGUGUGUAAGCGCAGCGAUGCGUUGAGCUAACCGGUACUAAUGAACCGUGAGGCUUAACCUU